rnacentral:rRNA from 1 species
UACAGAGGGUGCAAGCGUUGUUCGGAAUUACUGGGCGUAAAGAGCGCGCAGGCGGUCGUUCAAGUCGCGUGUGAAAGCCCCCGGCUCAACUGGGGAGGGUCACGCGAUACUGAUCGACUCGAAGGCAGGAGAGGGUAGUGGAAUUCCCGGUGUAGUGGUGAAAUGCGUAGAUAUCAAGAGGAACACCUGAGGCGAAGGCGGGUUGCUAGGCUGACACUGACGCUGAUGCGCGAAAGCCAGGGGAGCAAACGGG